UUGAUCAGUUCUUUGCUUUUUAAAAAUCCCUAUCCAUCCUGUUAAAAAGAAAAUUAACUAUUAAGAGGUAUUAAAAGAUUCAAUUCUUAGAUGGACAGGGUUUAAAACCUUUUGUAAUAUAUUCAAAUGUAUAUUUUUGAGAGAGAUGCUGCAUUGCCAAUGGAAUGUCAUUAAGUAUUUCUGAAAUGUUUCUAAAAAGUGAACAUUUAAAAAAUACUGUGUUUUCUCCCUAGCUUCCUGUUAUAGCAUUUCCAAUUGCUUCAUACUUCACAGUUUUAAUGAAUACAAAGUAUAAGCUCUACUUUAUAACACAUCCUGUAGGUUUCUUUAAAACUGUUUUUAUAUUCCA
rnacentral:lncRNA from 1 species